AGCAGUCGCCGCGGUAAUACGUAGGUCCCGAGCGUUGUCCGGACUUAUUGGGCGUAAAGCGAGCGCAGGCGGUUUGAUAAGUCUGAAGUUAAAGGCUGUGGCUCAACCAUAGUUCGCUUUGGAAACUGUCAAACUUGAGUGCAGAAGGGGAGAGUGGAAUUCCAUGUGUAGCGGUGAAAUGCGUAGAUAUAUGGAGGAACACCGGUGGCGAAAGCGGCUCUCUGGUCUGUAACUGACGCUGAGGCUCGAAAGCGUGGGGAGCGAACAGGAUUAGAUACCCGUGUAGUCCCUGUCUCUUAUACA
rnacentral:rRNA from 1 species